rnacentral:rRNA from 1 species
AUGCCAUUAAAGUUUUGGGACGAAGCGUUUCUUACUGCUGUUCACAUUAUCAACAGGCUUCCUAGUCGUGUCAUAAAUAAUGAAACUCCAGUAGAACGCCUUCUUCAUGUCAAACCCGACUAUUCCACUCUUCAUGUGUUUGGGUGUGCGUGUUGGCCUAACCUACGCCCAUACAACAAACGCAAGCUCAUGUUUCGAUCAAUCCAAUGUGCUUUCCUUAGAUACAGCGCCCAACACAAAGGUGUAAAGUGCCUUGACAUCUCCACUGGUCGAGUCUAUAUAUCACGCGACGUGGUUUUUGAUGAGACCAAAUUCCCUUUUUCUGAUCUUCAUCCAAACGCUGGUGCUCUACUUCAAAAAGAAAUUCUUUUGCUUCCUCCAAGUCUUUCUGGUUAUGGGGGGUGUUGA